GAUGAACGCUAGCGGCAGGCCUAAUACAUGCAAGUCGGACGGGAUUGAGAAGCUUGCUUUUCAUGAGAGUGGCGCACGGGUGCGUAACACGUAUGUAACCUACCUUAAUCAGGGGGAUAGCCUCUCGAAAGAGAGAUUAACACCGCAUAAAAUCAAUUUAUGGCAUCAUAGAAUGAUCAAAUAUUUAUAGGAUCAAGAUGGGCAUGCGGAACAUUAGCUAGUUGGUAAGGUAACGGCUUACCAAGGCUACGAUGUUUAGGGGAUCUGAGAGGAUGACCCCCCACACUGGUACUGAGACUCGGACCAGACUCCUGCGGGAGGCAGCAGUAAGGAAUAUUGGUCAAUGGGCGCAAGCCUGAACCAGCCAUGCCGCGUGCAGGAAGACGGCCCUACGGGUUGUAAACUGCUUUUGUACCGGAAUAAACCUUUGUAUGUAUACGAAGCUGAAUGUACGGUAAGAAUAAGGAUCGGCUAACUCCGUGCCAGCCGCCGCAGUAA
rnacentral:rRNA from 1 species